GUGGUCUUUAGAGUAAAACUUUACUUUUGUUACGAAGCCCCUAAGGAGACAUGGUGAUGGGAAAAAAUUGAUGUAAGGAAACUCCCUAAACUCAUAUCCCAUGUUCCCCUACUUAUUCAUUGAGGAUCUUAUUGGUGACAUCAUUAAAUAAGCAAUUUCAAAGAUUAAAAAAAGUAUCCAUUAAUGACUGGAAAGAUAAUAGAUAUUCCUUGGUUAAUUGGUUUGGGAUCCCUGUAAACAUUUGUAUUCAUGGGUUUCAGUCACGUGACUUUUUUGUUGCGGCCGCCAUCUUUAGGACCUUUGCGUAGCUGCGACAGUAGUUAGCUUCUCCUGAUCGGAAAGAUGUCGCACACUAAAAUAGCACAGCACACCUCAUUACAGAUGAAAAGGUAUUUAAAUAAAAUUGAUAAGGUUUAGAUCCGUGUUUACUUUCAAACGAACUGCUGACUUGUAAAAAUUUGACGUUCGCUGACAUUUACUACCUCGUCCACAAUCCCUAUCCAUUCACCGGAAGGCAUUUAAAAGCACUGAAGCCUACCGCUACUUCACCUCAGGUUGGGUUAAUGAUCCCGGAAUCUAUCAUCUGGAGAUGAAGAAAAUGUUCUUGAUAACAGGAAGGGUGAAGCAUUCACAAAGCCUCAGUUUAACACCAACAUACCACUGGAUAACAGUACAGGAAGAUGGGACAGUUCUCAGAUAUUUUGAAGAAUGUCAUCAACCAAACAGUAAACUGGAACCAUUGACUUCCAUAGUAGGAAAAAAAAUUACCAUGGAAGUCAAUGGUUCCAGUUUGGUUACUGACAUUCUUCAAAAUAUCUUCCUUUGUGUUCUCCUGUAGAAAGAAAUGCAUGCAGGUUUGAAACAACUUGAGGGUGAGAAUGAUGACAGAAUUUUCAUUUUAAAGUGAACUAUUCCUUUAAUGAAGUUCAUAUCUUCAUUUAGUGUUAUUUUUCAAUCAGUAGUUUAAAAUGCCUUUUUCAAUAACAUUCGGUUAAGUUACUAUUUGUGAGCCGGGCACAGGGUUUCUGGUAGGAAUAAAUAUUUGCACAGUAGAAAUGCAGUUUGAAUCUACAACCUAAUUACCCAUGUGGUUUAUAAUGUAUAUGGGAUUUUUUAUGAAUGAUUUGAUUAUUACGAAUGAUUAACAAUAAACAGAAUGAGAACAGAA